rnacentral:rRNA from 1 species
GUGAACGCUGGCGGUAGGCCUAACCCAUGCAAGUCGAACGGCAGCACAGUAAGAGCUUGCUCUUACGGGUGGCGAGUGGCGGACGGGUGAGGAAUACAUCGGAAUCUACUUUUUCGUGGGGGAUAACGUAGGGAAACUUACGCUAAUACCGCAUACGACCUACGGGUGAAAGCAGGGGAUCUUCGGACCUUGCGCGAUUGAAUGAGCCGAUGUCGGAUUAGCUAGUUGGCGGGGUAAAGGCCCACCAAGGCGACGAUCCGUAGCUGGUCUGAGAGGAUGAUCAGCCACACUGGAACUGAGACACGGUCCAGACUCCUACGGGAGGCAGCAGUGGGGAAUAUUGGACAAAGGGCGCAAGCCUGAUCCAGCCAUACCGCGUGGGUGAAGAAGGCCUUCGGGUUGUAAAGCCCUUUUGUUGGGAAAGAAAAGCAGCAGGUUAAUACCCCGCUGUUCUGACGGUACCCAAAGAAUAAGCACCGGCUAACCUCGUG